rnacentral:rRNA from 1 species
UACCUACGGGGGGCAGCAGUGGGGAAUAUUGCACAAUGGGGGAAACCCUGAUGCAGCAACGCCGCGUGAGUGAAGAAGUAUUUCGGUAUGUAAAGCUCUAUCAGCAGGAAAGAAAUGACGGUACCUGACUAAGAAGCCCCGGCUAACUACGUGCCAGCAGCCGCGGUAAUACGUAGGGGGCAAGCGUUAUCCGGAUUUACUGGGUGUAAAGGGAGCGUAGACGGCUGAGCAAGUCUGAAGUGAAAGGCGGGGGCCCAGCCCCCGGACUGCUUUGGAAACUGUAUAGCUAGAGUGCAGGAGAGGUA